GCGGGAGCCGAAAAUGGUUAAGCUUAACUCUCUUAACUUUUCUCAUUCAUUCUCUAUGGUAGUUCUUAACACUACGGAUGUAAUAUACUUUUUCACCACUAGCGAGAUUUUGGGGGCGCUGUUUCCACAUCGUCUUAGUAGUAAGGUUUUCACAGGAAGAGCCUUUAGGAAGACAAAACAACAAUAAUCCUGCGGCCAGAUUUGAUCCGAUCGCUGUUAAAACACAAGAGCACAACAAGUUAAAGUCAAGUUAAAGUCUGAUAUCUCCAGAAUGAAGAGGAAAUUAAUUUUUCCUGGAAAAAUCUGCGUGAGCUUCAGACGAGGCCCAACUGGGUUUCUCAGGCAGGACCCUUCAGAUGAAGCCAAGAGGAUCAAAAAAAAUCCUGAGCUCCAGGACAAGUCUGCUCCCCAGAGAGAGGAAAAAGUGAAGGAAAACGCCCUGUCAAAAGUCUUCAUUAGGGGUGGAGAUACAUCUGACAGGCAGGAGGUGUUGGGGGAGUAUGUUCUUCAAUUUGGCAAAUACAAGGGGAAGUCCUUUCGGUGGCUGCUAGAAAAUGAUAUUGGCUACACCAUUUAUUUAAUUAACAAGGUUGAGGAAGAGGAGAGAGCUGGACUCUUUAAUGCCGAGGGACCAAAGAAGGAGAGUCUCUUUUCAUUUCUGGAUUAUACCCGACACUUUCACGAAAUCAGAGAUCUGAGAAACUGUUUAGCUGAAAGAUCAGUGGAGCCACCUUCAAGUAGUGAGGACAACCAGCUGGUUGGAUUUGGUGUGCAUUCUAAGAAGACCUGGAAGGAUGUCUGGGAGAAAAGAGAAGAUGGAUAUGCAUCAUUUAUCCUCAGGAAACAGUGUGUUUCAGGCAGCAAAAUGUUCCUGCUCCAGCAGUACCUGAAGAAGAAAGAGGCUCAGACUCAGAGCUCUUCAGAACCUGCUCUUACUAAACCUUCUUCUAGUCCUCCAGUAUCUUCGUUAGAGAUGGAAGAUGAUGAAGAGUUGGAGAGAAUGAUGCUUUCUGUCUCUCCAUCCAAACUCCUCCCUUUACAAGAGCAGAGACAUUUAGUGAAGAAGAUGACAGGCCCAACAUGUUUAGAAACAAUCCCAACCCAACCAAGUUCACUGAGUAAAGGUCUAGAUGCUGCUGCUGCCACUGCCACCGCCGCCGCUGGUACCUGAUGGUUCUGUCGUAAACCAGGAUCACCUUUUCCUUUCCUCUGUUUGCUGGUUGGCCACGUUCAGGCCUGUUCUAAUGCAGGUGUUUUGUUUGACUGCUUUUAUGAUGCUGAAGGUAUUCAUUGUUCGUCGUCGAGGACCAGCCUGAGAGGUCCAGCUGUCCUGCUGCCACACAUGCAGUUACUUCAGCUCCAGUGAAGACUCCUCUGCCAGUACCACCAGAGUUGCUCGCUUUGGAACUGCCUCAACGUGUCCAGGAUAAAACCUACACAGUCGUUGGAAGACCCUCAGCUCAGUCUGCAGCUCCUUCUCCUGCUCACUUUCAGCCAACGCCUGCUGCUUCACCACUUCCAUCUUAUGACCAGGAUGUUAGCAGCUGGAACUGCUCUCCCCAGCAGAGGAUCUGGAUGAAAACAGAGAUGGAAGCCUUAGGACUGUGGCCUGGGUCUCCACCUGUAAGACAUGCCAUGAAUAUGAUCUCCUUGUGGCGUAACCCACCUCAGCCGGAACUCAUUGACUCAAUUUAUGAGCUACCAUCCCCAAAGUACUUUCACCUCCAUCCUUUUUUUAUCUGGAAACCAGACCAUGCAAUAAUGGAAAGAGUGCGUAACAACUACCCCCUCCCGUGUCUGCAUGGCUGCCCAAAACCCCUCGUGGUCUCCUCUGGAACA